ACUUUUAUCGGGAGCGAAAUACCAUUGGCUAAUAACCGAUGGGGCUGACGGUACCCGAGGAAUAAGCACCGGUCUAAUUUCGUGCCAGCAGCCGCGGUAAUACGAAGGGUGCAAGCGUUAAUCGGAAUUACUGGGCGUAAAGGGUGCGUAGGCGGUUUGUUAAGUCUGUCGUGAAAUCCCCGGGCUCAACCUGGGAAUGGCGAUGGAUACUGGCAAGCUAGAGUGUGUCAGAGGAUGGUGGAAUUUCCGGUGUAGCGGUGAAAUGCGUAGAGAUCGGAAGGAACAUCAGUGGCGAAGGCGGCCAUCUGGGACAACACUGACGCUGAAGCACGAAAGCGUGGGGAGCAAACAGGAUUAGAUACCCUGGUAGUCCACGCCCUAAACGAUGCGAACUGGAUGUUGGUCUCAACUCGGAGAUCAGUGUCGAAGCUAACGCGUUAAGUUCGCCGCCUGGGGAGUACGGUCGCAAGACUGAAACUCAAAGGAAUUGACGGGGGCCCGCACAAGCGGUGGAGUAUGUGGUUUAAUUCGAUGCAACGCGAAGAACCUUACCUGGCCUUGACAUGUCUGGAAUCCUGCAGAGAUGCGGGAGUGCCUUCGGGAAUCAGAACACAGGUGCUGCAUGGCUGUCGUCAGCUCGUGUCGUGAGAUGUUGGGUUAAGUCCCGCAACGAGCGCAACCCUUGUCCUUAGUUGCCAGCGAGUAAUGUCGGGAACUCUAAGGAGACUGCCGGUGACAAACCGGAGGAAGGUGGGGAUGACGUCAAGUCCUCAUGGCCCUUACGGCCAGGGCUACACACGUACUACAAUGGUCGGUACAGAGGGUUGCAAUACCGCGAGGUGGAGCCAAUCCCAGAAAGCCGAUCCCAGUCCGGAUCGAAGUCUGCAACUCGACUUCGUGAAGUCGGAAUCGCUAGUAAUCGCGGAUCAGCUAUGCCGCGGUGAAUACGUUCCCGGGCCUUGUACACACCGCCCGUCACACCAUGGGAGUGAGUUGCUCC
rnacentral:rRNA from 1 species